rnacentral:rRNA from 1 species
UAGAGUUUGAUCCUGGCUCAGGAUGAACGCUGGCGGCGUGCUUAACACAUGCAAGUCGAACGAAGCAGGAGGGUGCUUGCACCUUCCUGCUGAGUGGCGGACGGGUGAGUAACACGUGGAUAAUCUGCCCUGCACAGGGGGGACAACAGCUAGAAAUGGCUGCUAAUACCGCAUAAGCCUACAGCCUCGCAUGAGGGAGUAGGAAAAGAAAUUCGGUGCAGGAUGAGUCCGCGUCUGAUUAGCUAGUUGGAGGGGUAAAAGCCCACCAAGGCAACGAUCAGUAGCCGGCCUGAGAGGGCGACCGGCCACAUUGGGACUGAGACACGGUCCAGACUCCUACGGGAGGCAGCAGUGAGGAAUAUUGGUCAAUGGAUGAGAAUCUGAACCAGCCAAGUAGCGUGCAGGAUGACGGCCCUAUGGGUUGUAAACUGCUUUUAUACGGGAAUAAAUGACGACACGUGUGUUGUUUUGUAGGUACCGUAUGAAUAAGGACCGGCUAAUUCCGUGCCAGCGGCCGCGGUAAUACGGAAGGUCCGGGCGUUAUCCGGAUUUAUUGGGUUUAAAGGGAGCGUAGGCCGGCGCUUAAGCGUGCCGUGAAAUGUCCCGGCUCAACCGGGGCACUGCGGCGCGAACUGGGUGCCUUGAGUGCGCGGAACGUAUGCGGAAUUCGUGGUGUAGCGGUGAAAUGCUUAGAUAUCACGAAGAACUCCGAUUGCGAAGGCAGCAUACGGCAGCGUAACUGACGCUGAAGCUCGAAGGUGCGGGUAUCGAACAGGAUUAGAUACCCUGGUAGUCCGCACGGUAAACGAUGGAUGCCCGCUGUUGGCGAUAUAGUGUCAGCGGCCAAGCGAAAGCGUUAAGCAUCCCACCUGGGGAGUACGCCGGCAACGGUGAAACUCAAAGGAAUUGACGGGGGCCCGCACAAGCGGAGGAACAUGUGGUUUAAUUCGAUGAUACGCGAGGAACCUUACCCGGGCUUGAACUGCAGGUGAACGAUUCAGAGAUGAUGAGGUCCUUCGGGACACCUGUGGAGGUGCUGCAUGGUUGUCGUCAGCUCGUGCCGUGAGGUGUCGGCUUAAGUGCCAUAUCGAGCGCAACCCCUGUUCUCAGUUGCCAUCGGGUCAUGCCGGGCACUCUGUGAAGACUGCCUCCGUAAGGAGUGAGGAGGGUGGGGAAGACGUCAAAUCAGCACGGCCCUUACGUCCGGGGCUACACACGUGUUACAAUGGGUGAUACAGAGAGUCGGCGGCCGGCAACGUCCGUCUAAUCUAUAAAGUCAUCCUCAGUUCGGACUGGGGUCUGCAACCCGACC